rnacentral:lncRNA from 1 species
AGAGCCUGUCUCAAAAAAAAAAAAAAAAAAGGCAAAUUAAACUAUUUGUGUUUUGGUGGUGCUUGUUACUGAGUUCCUGUGGGUCACAGCCCACAAGAAAUGCAAGGAGGACCCACAUGAGGGUCUUUCCUACAGCUCCUUACAUGCUCAAGCUGGUAAUUGUGGUCUAGUAGUAGCUACUGAAUAUCAACCCAUAAGAAUGACUUCAUAUUAAAAAACCACAGAGGCUAUAAUUGGGUCUGUCUUAGUAAGUUCUAAAGUGUCGGUAGAGACCCAGACUCACACCCACACUCCUAAGGGCAGGACACAGGGGAGGCUGUGGCCUUGGAUCCUGUGUGGCUGAAAUGGGGUUGCCUAUUCAGGUGCUGAGUUUGAGAUGGGAGCUGGCCCCUGGCCUGGAGAGUGGGGACUUGUGCCGAGGCCACUUUGCUGUUGCCCAGCAGGCCAGCGUGCACCCCUUGUGCAUCCUGUUGACACGAGCACUGAGCGGACAGACCUCGGCUGGUGUUCCUGUUAACAGGUCCCACUUAGCAGCCCCUGUUUACAGCCAGCCUGGGACCUGCCUGGCAGGACGCCUGGUAGUUCUGUGUCAUAGGAGCCCCUCUUUGUUCCAGGCCAACCAGGACGGGCGGUCACCCCACAUACAGGGUUCUAAACGUUCUGACGUUACAGCGGGGGUCUGGUGCUGUUGUCUCAGGCAGGAAUGGAGGCUGAGGGUCUGCACGUUUACUGCUGUGUGGAGGCCCCGUCCCAGGAGCGAGGUGGAGCCCACGUGAGGAGGUUGUGGUCUUUGUAAAGGUGGGCAGCAGCGAGUCAUGAACUGCAAGCUCUUGGUAGGUUUUGGACGGGACGUGGCUGGCUGAGCUUCCUCUUGGCUGUGUGGAGCCUCAGCAGGGCGUUGUGUUUGACGGCAAAUGGAAAUUAAAUCACCGCAUCGUCACUGUCUUUUUUAGGGACGAUGCUGCACUUAGUUCUUGCAACUCUUCCUGUUGUCAGUUGGGGCGGGGGGGCGUCAUAGCAUUCUUUCCUGUCCUUGGGGGUCACCUUCCAGGAAAGGGGUGGGUGUCAGAGAGUGAGUGCGGCUUUGAAAGGCUGAUGUUGAGUGGGAUCCCGUUUUUCAGGUGAUGGUGCCAAUGAUCUUUCCGUGCGGAACUAAGUUUAUGUAGGGUUCAAGAUCCAUUCAAAGAUAAAUUCAGUGAUGACCUGGUUGAUGAAAAGAAUCACUUUUUUUUAAUGUUCUAGAGAAAACUCUUUAACUGCUGUAUUAGUUAUCUAUUGCUGUGAAACAGACAAAUGUAGUGGCUUAAAACAACAAUAAGCUGUCUUCUCCCACACAGCGGCUGUGGGUCAGGAGUUUGGGAGUGGCUCGAUUGGGUGCUGCUGUCCUGGAGUCUCAUGCAGUUGCAGUUGAGAUGUUGCCCAGCUCUGCAGGCCUCAAGGCCAGGGUCUGGGAGUCUGCUUCCAAGAUGUCUCACCCUCGCAGCAGUAGCAGGAGGAGCCCUCAGCACCAGGACCACCUCAGGGCCGCUUGAGUAUCCUCACACCGUGGCACCAGCUUUUGCCAGAGGGCAGGGAGUGACCUAGCUUCAGAAGUUGCCCCUUAUUUCCAUCCUCCUGGGGGUCACAGAAGUCAGUUCAGGGAGGAGAAGGUGGCACGGUGGUGAGUGUCUGCAGGGGAUCCUGUGGGAAAGCAGCGCAGUGGUGAGUGUCCGCAGGGGAUCCUGUGGGAGGGCGGUGCGGUGGUUGAGUGUCCGCAGGGGAUCCUGUGGGAAGGCGGUACAGUGGUUGAGUGUCCACAGGGGAUCCUGUGGGAAGGCGGUGCGGUGGUUGAGUGUCCGCAGGGGAUCCUGUGGGAGGGCGGUGCGGUGGUUGAGUGUCCGCAGGGGAUCCUGUGGGAAGGCGGUACAGUGGUUGAGUGUCCACAGGGGAUCCUGUGGGAAGGCGGUACGGUGGUUGAGUGUCCGCAGGGGAUCCUGUGGGAAGGCGGUGCGGUGGUGAGUGUCCGCAGGGGAGCCUGUGGGAAGGCGGUGCGGUGGUUGAGUGUCCGCAGGGGAGCCUGUUGGAAGGCCGCGCGGUGGUGAGUGUCCGCAGGGGAGCCUGUUCUGGUUGCUUGGACUGCUGUCACAAGAAUGCCAUGACCAUGAACUGGGCAGCUUGUAAACAACAGGAAUCUACCGCUCACAGCUCGGGAGCCUGGGAGUCCACCAUCAAGGCCCUGGUAGGUUUGGUGUCCAGUGAGAACCGCUUCUUGGCUGGUAAAUAGCGUCUUCUUGCCGUGCCCUCUCCUGGUGGAAGGGCCAGGGAGCCCCUUUAUCAGGGCACAUACUCCAUCCAGGAGGCUGUGCCUUCAUGGCCCAGUCACUUCCAAAUACCAUCCCAAGCAGGAUUAGGAGGACCACAUGUGAAGACGCCGCACAGCCUUCCUGGAGGCUGUGUGCCCCAGCCCUGCCAUCAGCUGCCUG